GUAGUACGUACAAUGACGUUUACAAUCCGUCUGCUAUUGCCCACUUAACACAGAAAUGCUAUGUAUAUAUUUUAUCAUAGUUUUAGUAUUCUGCAGAUGUUUAUUGAGAAACAACAUAUCGCAAGAGAGUAAUGGAAAACGACAAUUGUGUGUAUUUUGUGAAAAUUCAUGUUUCCGACGGAUCAGACAGACUUGAUUCAAUUUCAGUUGAGGAAGAUGUGCAAGGGAAGAUAUUAUUUACACACCAAUUAGACGAUUCUGACAAUUCUGAUACAUUGUCCAUACAUCAGGAGUUCACUAGAAAUAUCUCGUUAUCAUCACAUCAAAAGAAACAUAGAUCAUCGAUUUUAGACAAUUUAAAACUAUUUCCAAACGAGUCUACACGUAAAAAUCUAAUACGCGCCAUACUUAUUCUUACUUGUAUGUUUGUUUUGUUAAGUGGAAUUUUACUAAUAGUUACACUAAACAUGUCUGAAGAAAUAGACGAUAAAGGUAAGGACUGUCAAUGCGAAGUAGAAUAGAGAAUGGAAACGGUAAAUGUGUUAGAAAGACAAAAACC
rnacentral:lncRNA from 1 species